rnacentral:misc_RNA from 1 species
GUGUCAUAGCCCAGCUUGGCGGGCGAAGGCCAAGACGGAGAUGAGGUGCGCGUGGC